CCUGGCGGCACUAGCGCGGUGGUCCCACCUGACCCCAUGCCGAACUCAGAAGUGAAACGCCGUAGCGCCGAUGGUAGUGUGGGGUCUCCCCAUGUGAGUAGGGAACUGCCAGGC
rnacentral:rRNA from 2 species